rnacentral:rRNA from 1 species
UACGAAGGGGGGCUAGCGUUGCUCGGAAUCACUGGGCGUAAAGCGCACGUAGGCGGAUUGCUAAGUCAGGGGGUGAAAUCCUGGAGCUCAACUCCAGAACUGCCUUUGAUACUGGCGACCUUGAGUCCGGGAGAGGUGAGUGGAACUGCGAGUGUAGAGGUGAAAAUUCGUAGAUAUUCGCAAGAACACCAGUGGCGAAGGCGGCUCACUGGCCCGGUACUGACGCUGAGGGUGCGAAA